UAGCAGAUCAUGUGAUGAACACGUUCUUCUCAUGUUUUCCAGGACUAUCUUAAAACAUAAAGCACUGGAGUAUGUACCACACAACAUGUGUAGAGAAACAAAAAUAACCAUUUUUUCCCCCAGUGAUAUAGAUGAAGAACAUCUGUGUGAAUACACAUCUCUGCAUGUGUCUUGGUAUCUUUCAGCUGUGAGAGGAAGUAUUACAAGGUAUUCGAGCUGCACUUAGCAAAGAAUACCCUUAUAUAAUUUUGUUUUUCAUGACCCAUCCCCUUCUAAAAUACCUAUAACAAUUAGGUCAGUCAAAUCAUCCACAUGCUCUACAGCUAU
rnacentral:lncRNA from 1 species